rnacentral:rRNA from 1 species
UACCGAGGGGGCAAGCGUUGUUCGGAAUUACUGGGCGUAAAGGGCGCGUAGGCGGCCUUCUAAGUCGAACGUGAAAUCCCCGGGCUCAACCCGGGAACUGCGUCCGAUACUGGAAGGCUUGAAUCCGGGAGAGGAAAGUGGAAUUCCUGGUGUAGCGGUGAAAUGCGUAGAUAUCAGGAGGAACACCGGUGGUGUAGACGGCUUUCUGGACCGUAACUGACGCUGAGACACGAAAGCGUGGGUAGCAAACAGG